AAAAAGAUAAGCUAAAUAAGCUAAUAGGUUCAUACCCUACUUAUGAAAUUAAAUUUCUCUUUUUA
rnacentral:tRNA from 1 species